UACAGAGGUCCCAAGCGUUGUUCGGAUUCAUUGGGCGUAAAGGGUGCGCAGGCGGUUUCGUAAGUCUGUCGUGAAAUCCCCGGGCUUAACCUGGGAAUGGCGAUGGAGACUGCGAGGCUAGAGUUUGGCAGAGGGGGGUGGAAUUCCAGGUGUAGCAGUGAAAUGCGUAGAGAUCUGGAGGAACACCGAUGGCGAAGGCAGCCCCCUGGGUUAGCACUGACGCUCAUACACGAAAGCGUGGGGGAGCAAACAGG
rnacentral:rRNA from 1 species